UCGUUGUUAGUAUAGUGGCCAGUAUCCCCGCCCGUCACGCGGGUGACUGGGGUUAGUUUCCCCGACAAGGAG
rnacentral:tRNA from 1 species